GUCUACGGCCAUGCCACCCUGAAUGUGCCUGAUCCCGUCUGAUCUCGGAAGCUAAGCAGGGUCGGGCCCGGUUAGUACUUGGAUGGGAGACCACCCAGGAAGACCAGGUUCUGCAGGCG
rnacentral:rRNA from 1 species